CCUACGGGAGGCAGCAGUAGGGAAUCUUCCACAAUGGGCGAAAGCCUGAUGGAGCAACGCCGCGUGGGUGAAGAAGGUCUUCGGAUCGUAAAACCCUGUUGUUAGAGAAGAAAGUGCGUGAGAGUCACUGUUCACGUUUCGACGGUAUCUAACCAGAAAGCCACGGCUAACUACGUGCCAGCAGCCGCGGUAAUACGUAGGUGGCAAGCGUUAUCCGGAUUGAUUGGGCGUAAAGGGAACGCAGGCGGUCUUUUAAGUCUGAUGUGAAAGCCUUCGGCUUAACCGGAGUAGUGCAUUGGAAACGGGGAGACUUGAGUGCAGAAGAGGAGAGUGGAACUCCAUGUGUAGCGGUGAAAUGCGUAGAUAUAUGGAAGAACACCAGUGGCGAAAGCGGCUCUCUGGUCUGUAACUGACGCUGAGGUUCGAAAGCGUGGGUAGCAAACAGGAUUAGAUACCCUUGUAGUC
rnacentral:rRNA from 1 species